rnacentral:rRNA from 1 species
UACGAGGGGGGCUAGCGUUGUUCGGAAUUACUGGGCGUAAAGCGUGCGCAGGCGGCUUCUCAAGUCAGGGGUGAAAGCCCAGAGCUUAACUCUGGAAUUGCCUUUGAGACUGAGAGGCUUGAGUACGGGAGAGGUGAGUGGAAUUCCCAGUGUAGAGGUGAAAUUCGUAGAUAUUGGGAAGAACACCGGUGGCGAAGGCGGCUCACUGGCCCGUAACUGACGCUCAUGCACGACAGCGUGGGGAUCAAACAGG